AGUGGUCACUGCAGUGUCUUCUCCCUUCGAAAGAUCCAACUGAUGCUGAGGUAGAAAUUGAAUGUGGGCGCCCCGUAAUCCUCCUCUGCGGACUCUUGCGAGGAUGUUUCUUCAGUCUCCUGCAACACAUGGAGGGCAGGUUGUCUGCAAUGUAAACAUCCUUGAAAACCACCCUUGAAGUUUCUGUGAAAACAUUGAACAUCUUGGAAGGGGUGAGUGCCACAGGACAGCGGGGGGGUUUCCCAGGACUCCCUCCUCCCUGCUCCACAGCCCACGGGGAAGACCUCCACAGAUAGCUACACAGGACAAAGCCCAGGGGUGGACGGAAGGAAACACUCA